UCGUCACACUAUCAUUAACUGAAUCCAUAGGUUAAUGAGGCGAACCGGGGGAACUGAAACAUCUAAGUACCCCGAGGAAAAGAAAUCAACCGAGAUUCCCCCAGUAGCGGCGAGCGAACGGGGAGGAGCCCAGAGCCUGAAUCAGCAUGUGUGUUAGUGGAAGCGUCUGGAAAGGCGCGCGAUACAGGGUGACAGCCCCGUACACAAAAGCGCAUGUGCUGUGAGCUCGAUGAGUAGGGCGGGACACGUGGUAUCCUGUCUGAAUAUGGGGGGACCAUCCUCCAAGGCUAAAUACUCCUGACUGACCGAUAGUGAACCAGUACCGUGAGGGAAAGGCGAAAAGAACCCCGGCGAGGGGAGUGAAAAAGAACCUGAAACCGUGUACGUACAAGCAGUGGGAGCACAGGUUUACCUGUGUGACUGCGUACCUUUUGUAUAAUGGGUCAGCGACUUAUAUUCUGUAGCAAGGUUAACCGUAUAGGGGAGCCGUAGGGAAACCGAGUCUUAACCGGGCGUUAAGUUGCAGGGUAUAGACCCGAAACCCGGUGAUCUAGCCAUGGGCAGGUUGAAGGUUGGGUAACACUAACUGGAGGACCGAACCGACUAAUGUUGAAAAAUUAGCGGAUGACCUGUGGCUGGGGGUGAAAGGCCAAUCAAACCGGGAGAUAGCUGGUUCUCCCCGAAAGCUAUUUAGGUAGCGCCUCGUGAAUUCAUCUCCGGGGGUAGAGCACUGUUUCGGCUAGGGGGCCAUCCCGGCUUACCAACCCGAUGCAAACUGCGAAUACCGGAGAAUGUUAUCACGGGAGACACACGGCGGGUGCUAACGUCCGUCGUGAAGAGGGAAACAACCCAGACCGCCAGCUAAGGUCCCAAAGUCAUGGUUAAGUGGGAAACGAUGUGGGAAGGCCCAGACAGCCAGGAUGUUGGCUUAGAAGCAGCCAUCAUUUAAAGAAAGCGUAAUAGCUCACUGGUCGAGUCGGCCUGCGCGGAAGAUGUAACGGGGCUAAACCAUGCACCGAAGCUGCGGCAGCGA
rnacentral:rRNA from 2 species